rnacentral:rRNA from 1 species
CGGACGGGUGAGUAAUGUCUGGGAAACUGCCCGAUGGAGGGGGAUAACUACUGGAAACGGUAGCUAAUACCGCAUAACGUCGCAAGACCAAAGAGGGGGACCUUCGGGCCUCUUGCCAUCGGAUGUGCCCAGAUGGGAUUAGCUUGUUGGUGGGGUAACGGCUCACCAAGGCGACGAUCCCUAGCUGGUCUGAGAGGAUGACCAGCCACACUGGAACUGAGACACGGUCCAG